AACGAACGCUGGCGGCGUGGAUAAGACAUGCAAGUCGAACGCUAAUUUCGGGGUAGCAAUAUUCCGGAGUUGGAGUGGCGAAAGGGUGCGUAACAUGUGGGUAAUCUGCCGUGAAGUUUGGGAUAACUUGCUGAAAGGCGAGCUAAUACCGGAUGUAAUCGCUGGGAGGUAUCUCUUGGUGAUUAAAGUUGGGGACCGCAAGGCCUGACGCUUCAUGAUGAGCCCGCANCCUAUCAGCUAGUUGGUGAGGUAACGGCUCACCAAGGCUAAGACGGGUAGCUGGUCUGAGAGGACGACCAGCCACACUGGAACUGAGACACGGUCCAGACACCUACGGGUGGCAGCAGUCG
rnacentral:rRNA from 1 species